CAGCCUCAUUCAAGCGUUUAUUAAUCCCAAAAAUCCUAGAAAUGAAAAAUAAGGAAAAUAGAUUUCGUAAAGAUUCGAGGAUUGACUGACGUCACCUAAUAAUGACGUCAUUUAUGAUGUACUUACUCAUUUGAAAUUUCAUUGCACGAAACACGGACAAAAAUUAUUAUAAACUGGGGAGGUGGCUGAUAAAGGAAAGCUAGGAUCCUGACUUCGCCAUCCAAUACACUGUUCUCCAUAACUAACAACUUGUUGGAUAAAUUGGUAUUAGAAGGUUGACCUCAGAAGCCUAGAGUCACUUUAGACCCAGUAGAUAUAGAGCCAAUCGGCAACUGAGUGGGAGUGCUCUUCCAAGUUCAAAGUGACUUUCCAAGUUCUACCGGGAAAUGCCAACGCUAACUCAUUGUCUGGUCGACAAACUGAGACUUGCAUAAGAACAUUUCUGGUGCCUACCCAGAAGUAGAAGGCGAUAAUACAGAUUUAUUAAUUUCAAUAUUUUUGCAUUGCUGAAACCUCUAUCUAGCUGGUUGAAACGUGCAGGAAUUAAUAACAAGGUUCAGUGUUUACAUGCCAAUCAACUUUGUACAAACACUCCACUUAUAGAUAGUGAUUUCUGACUGUGGCUGACCCGCCCUAUCAGGCAUCGGGCUGAGUAGAAUUAAUUCAGCAAUGCAAUCAUUUUCAUGGAAGAUUCCAGGGGAGGGGAGAGAAGGAAUUGUUUUCUUACCUGAAAAGGCAAAAGAGGCUUUUAAACUUUUGCACUACUACUUCACAAUAAGUUGAAUAAAAUUAAAUAGCAAAUGCUGAUAU